rnacentral:rRNA from 1 species
GUAUCCUGACCGUGCUAAGGUAGCAUAAUAAUUUGCCUUUUAAUUGGAGGCUAGUAUGAACGGACAAACGAGAGUAUAGCUGUCUCACUAUUAACCGUGUAAAUUAACCUUCAAGUGAAGAGGCUUGAAUAAUAUAAAAAGACGAAAAGACCCUAUGGAGCUUCACUUACCUAGCAAACAUAGUAGACCCACACUACUAACUUUCUAAAAAGUUCAGUUGGGGCGACUAAGGAGCACUAUUAAAGCCUCCUCACCACCAAAAGAAAAUAGCUCUAUAAAAGAUCCACAAACGUGAACAAAGAAUCAGCUACCCUAGGGAUAACAGGCUAAUCCUUCUCGAGAGCCCGAAUUGACAGAAGGGGUUGGCACCUCGAUGUUGGCUUAAGGUACCUCUAAAGUGCAGCCGCUUUAGUAGUGGGUUUGUUCAACCUUUAAAACCUUACGUGAUCUGAGUUCA